GUGGGGAAUCUUAGACAAUGGGCGCAAGCCUGAUCUAGCCAUGCCGCGUGAGCGAUGAAGGCCUUAGGGUUGUAAAGCUCUUUCAGGGGGGAAGAUAAUGACGGUACCCCCAGAAGAAGCCCCGGCUAACUCCGUGCCAGCAGCCGCGGUAAUACGGAGGGGGCUAGCGUUGUUCGGAAUUACUGGGCGUAAAGCGCACGUAGGCGGACCAGAAAGUCAGGGGUGAAAUCCCGGGGCUCAGCCCCGGAACUGCCUUUGAAACUCCUGGUCUUGAGGUCGAGAGAGGUGAGUGGAAUUCCGAGUGUAGAGGUGAAAUUCGUAGAUAUUCGGAGGAACACCAGUGGCGAAGGCGGCUCACUGGCUCGAUACUGACGCUGAGGUGCGAAAGCGUGGGGAGCAAACAGGAUUAGAUACCCGAGUAGUCC
rnacentral:rRNA from 1 species